AUUGAACGCUGGCGGCAGGCCUAACACAUGCAAGUCGGACGGUAGCACAGAGGAGCUUGCUCCUUGGGUGACGAGUGGCGGACGGGUGAGUAAUGUCUGGGGAUCUGCCCGAUAGAGGGGGAUAACCACUGGAAACGGUGGCUAAUACCGCAUAACGUCGCAAGACCAAAGAGGGGGACCUUCGGGCCUCUCACUAUCGGAUGAACCCAGAUGGGAUUAGCUAGUAGGCGGGGUAAUGGCCCACCUAGGCGACGAUCCCUAGCUGGUCUGGAAGGAUAACCGGCCACACUGGAACUGAGACACGGUCCAGACUCCUACGGGAGGCAGCAGUGGGGAAUAUUGCACAAUGGGCGCAAGCCUGAUGCAGCCAUGCCGCGUGUAUGAAGAAGGCCUUCGGGUUGUAAAGUACUUUCAGCGGGGAGGAAGGCGGUGCGGUUAAUAACCGCGCCGAUUGACGUUACCCGCAGAAGAAGCACCGGCUAACUCCGUGCCAGCCGCCGCCGUAA
rnacentral:rRNA from 1 species